GCCGGGGUGGUGAAAUUGGUAGACGCAGUGGACUCAAAAUCCACCGGACUUCAACGUCCGUGGGGGUUCGAUUCCCCCCCUCGGCA
rnacentral:tRNA from 1 species